CUCAGUGCCCAUACUACCCUGAAUGUGUUUCAUCUCGUCUGAUCUUGGGAGCUAAGCAGGGCCAGGCCUGGUUGGCACUUGGA
ensembl:rRNA 5S_rRNA 5S ribosomal RNA